CUCCAUGAUGGGCAGGUUCCAAAUACCCAGAUUGCUUCCACCACCCUUUGCACCUACAUUUUAAUUGUAAUCUAUGUAUUAGGAAUAGUCUAUCCUCUGUCCACAGGAAAGAGCCAGACCAUUCUCAGGGUAAAAAAAAAAUUGCAUUGGACUUCUGAGUAAUAAAAUUUCUCACCAGAAUUUGAGAAAUAAAAGAUCCAGAAUUAUUCGGAUUAGAGAGAGCAUCUAAUAGAGAGAGUUUAGAAGUAGAGUCCCAGGGGCAGCUGGGUGGGCCAGCUGGCAGAUUAAGCACUAGACCUAAAGACAGGAGUUCUGGGUGUACAAAUCUGGCUUCAGGGGGCAGCUGGGUAGCUCAGUGAAUUGAGAGCCAGUCCUAGAGACGGGAGGUCCUAGGUUCAAAUCUUGCCUCAGACACUUCCCAGCUGUGUGACCCUGGGCAAGUCACUUGACCCCCAUUGCCUAGCCCUUACCACUCUUCUGCCUUGGAGCCAAUACACAGUAUUGACUCCAAGACGGAAGGUAAGGGUUUAAAAAAAAAAAAUCUGGCUUCAGACACUUCCUAGCCUUCUGACCCUGAGCAAAUCACUUAAUCCCCAUUACCUAACCCUUAUCACUCUCCUGCCUAGAUUCUAAAAGGGAAGGUGAGAGUUAAAAAAAAAAAGUAGGGUCCUUGCUUUAUAGAUCAUUUUCAGCCAAGUCAGCAAGCAUUUAAGCACCUACUAGGUGCUAUACAUAAUGCUUAAAUACAAAUAAAGGCAAAAACCAUUCCCUGACCACAGGGAACUCUGAAUCUAACAUGGAACACAACAGACUUUGAUGGGCAAGAUAGAAAUCAGAGAUGAUCAGCAAAGGGAAGGCAUUGGCCUCACAGGGGAUCAAGAUGGACUUCUUCUAGAGGGGGUGAGAUUUGAUCAGAACUUGAGAAGGUGAGGGGGAAGAACAUUCCAGAACUGUAUGUAACUGGGGGAUGAGACAAUGGCAUCUUUAGCCUCACUGACCUUUGGUUUCCUUGGUAAUUCUAUGUAUUUUAUUUUACACAUUUGAAAUAUUAAAAGGACCAGUAUGGCCCAAGAAGUCUAUAGCACAGGGCAACUAGGUGGCAUGGUAGCUAGAAGAGCUGUGUGACCCUGGGCAAGUUACUUAACCCCAUUUGCCUAGACCUUGCCCAUCUGUCUUAGAAUUGUUACUAAGACAGAAGGCAAAGAGUUUUAAAGG